rnacentral:lncRNA from 1 species
UGGAUAAAAUUCAAAGAAGCCACCAGGAAAGGAAAGAGCAUAAAGGAGAACAAAACCACAAGCUGAGCUGAGUGUAAGCAGCAGAGAGAUUUAGCUGUCUUGUCCUUACCCAGGACACACUCAGAGGUUGAGGCGAAAACUCAAGCACUCCCAGGGGCUUCUCCAGUACGAGUCUCCUUUCACCAGAGACAGCUGGGCACGUCCUUCAUUGCCGACAACUGGAACAAGAAUGUAGGGACAGAACCAGCCACACUGUGGACUUGC